GAUGAAGAACGUAGCGAAAUGCGAUAAGUAAUGUGAAUUGCAGAAUUCAGUGAAUCAUCGAAUCUUUGAACGCACAUUGCGCCCCCUGGUAUUCCGGGGGGCAUGCCUGUUCGAGCGUCAUUACACCACUCAAGCCUCGCUUGGUAUUGGGCAACGCGGUCCGCCGCGUGCCUCAAAUCGACCGGCUGGGUCUUCUGUCCCCUAAGCGUUGUGGAAACUAUUCGCUAAAGGGUGUUCGGGAGGCUACGCCGUAAAACAACCCCAUUUCUAAGGUUGACCUCGGAUCAGGUAGGGAUACCCGCUGAACUUAAGCAUAUCAAUAAGCGGAGGA
rnacentral:misc_RNA from 1 species